ACAAACCAACCAUCUCAAUUUUCUUCACAAUUCAAAACAAGCAGGUUAGAAUGGACUCAGUCGGUUCUCAUUAUUAACAACAUCUUUUUAUUCAUUUUUUCUUUUCCAUUUUUUCAAUUUUUUUUAUGCUUCUUUUUUUGUGUGUGGUCGAAUCUUAUGGAGAUUUCCUACGUAUCAUGACCUCGCAUGAAUCAGACCGUGCGUAGUUCGAGCCAAUAAAAAGUAAACAACAAUGAAACCUUUUUGGAAUUUUCAACUUUCAUAAUAAAACCAACUUUAAUUACAAUGGUUUAAAAACGGACCAAACUAUCAAAAUUUGACGAAAAGACAAUAUAACGGACUCGAAAAUCAAACAACCCGCAUAUUCUAUCAAAAGAGUAACAAACUCAAAAACAAAAAGAAAAAUUCAUUUCCCUAUUUGCCACUUUCAGCUAAAUGACUAUUUCUGCAAUGUGGCCCUCUCUCAAUUCACAUGAAUUUUGAGGCCAAAAAAAUUAUUUCACGACACUCUACAAACUUGUCCAUUCUUUUACGAAAGUAGCAUUUCAACAAAUGAAAGAUACUCUAAGGCUAUCUCGGCAAGAACGGUUUAAUACAUUGCCGAAGCUGGCUCGGCUAAUUUUUGACUAAAAAUUUGAACGGGAAUCACUUGCCCACUAACUCUUUUUUUUCAAAUUAAAAUAAAAGGCCAAGUUUUGCAAAGACGGCCUUUCUCCAUCGGGGGCGAAGAUUUUAAGGUUGUGUGGGUCAGCUGGCCAAAAUCUCAAAACAUGACCCAAAGGUGGCUGUUUAUACAAAGUCAGCCUUCUGGCGCCCCAUUCGGGAACAUUCGGCUAUUUUUUUGAUAAAAACAACAUCACCCGACUUAUUUAUGACGAAAAUAAAAACUUUGAUAUUUUUUCUAUUUUUCGCAAAAAUUGGGUUGGACCCGAUUAGGGCUGCCUACGUAUCUCACAUCCGGUGAGAAUCAAACCACCAUAGUUCGCCCAGGAGAACAAACUAAAUUUGAAAAUAAGACUCUUUUCUUUUGUUGUUUUUCCAACUAAAUCAAAGUAAAAGUGACUCUCUCUUUUUUUCAAAAUUUAGGUAGAGUUCCGCCACUAUUUGGAAAUUGAUUUUCUAAAAACAUGUAAUUAACACUCUACACUGCUAAUUUUUUUUCUUUUUCUCAUAAUUUUCCAAUAUUCAAAACCGCUCAGCAUGCCAGUAUGAAGCAAAUAAAUGCAUAAAACAUACAGGAUGCAGCAUGAUGGUCUUAUUACUUCAGGUUGCUUGUCCUAUACGGACCCAACCCCUGUGUUGAGUCCCCUAAGUCAAAUGCAUAUGAUGCAAAUAAACGUUCCUACUAGGGAUCUGGCAUGAAGUCUUGUCAAAACUAGGUUUUAAUGCCUUGGGUGUGAAGAGUAUCUAGACUGGCCAUAAAACGAGCGGACAACUCGAGUUGGGAAGGGGUAGCGUACCGGGAGCAAUGCUUUUCCGACUUUAGCUAUUAGACCCUUCUCUUUCUUAAAUAUGGGCGACUGAUAAUCCUUCACCGGGAGCCCAGGCCCACCGGCUUUAUCUCAACAAAUAACGAGGCGCGUAUCCGCGAUUCCCGAGGUUGUAUUCAGAAGACUCAUAGGGGGUGCGCAAGAAGACAAUUUAUAAUACAGUUCAACAAUAUCAAAGCUGUAAAACAGUCAACUAGCACAGUAAGAACAAAUAAUAUAACCAAAUCAGAUAAAGCCAAACAUAACCAUUUAUCUAAGCUCGAAUUUCUAACCAUGAACCAGUGGUUUUCGGUUAAAUCCCCAUCAGAGUCGCCAGAGCUGUCACACCUUAUUUUUCCGGCACCCGCGAGAGCACAGAGGGAGUUUUUUUCCAAAUAAAGGACAAUCAAAAUGGGAUUAUUUAUUAAGAUUCAGAGUCGCACUUGGGAGAUUUAUGGUGUCCCAAGUCACCGGUUUUAAUCCCGAAUCGAGGAAAAGAAUGACUAUGUUUAACAGUUUGCGAACCAGAAAUCCGGAUAAGGAAUUCUGUUAACCCGGAAGAAGGUGUUAGGCAUUCCCGAGUUCCGUGGUUAUAGCACGGUCACUCAACUGUCAUAUUCGGCUUAUUUAUCUGAUUUUAUAUAAUUGCGAACUUAUGUGCAAAUCUUAACUUUUAACCGCUUUUAUUAUUAUUAUUAUUAUUAUUAUUGUUAUUAUUAUUAUUAUUAUUAUUAUUAUUAUUAUUUUUAUUAUUUUUACAGAGAAUUGUAACGUUAUGAAAACGCAUCUAGAACCAUGUCACAACCAGUGUACACGUGAUUUGUCGACGUAUUUUUACUUCGUUGGAAUUUGGAUUUGGGUCACAUAAAUGUACACCCAUGUUUAGGGAGGAAAUAUUAUUGAAAUACGCACCUAAAGAGUCUAGCGCAUUAUUAUUUUGGGGAAGGCCGUGCAAUUCGCUAAACAGCUCAUCCCGAAGUCUAAAUAUUUAUUACCAUCCAGUGAGGGCCCCGCAGCCUGUACGUUUUAUUUGGCGAGGCUCGUCUCGUUUAUUUUUUUUUAAAAGGAUAUCCUAAAGCGACAACAUUUUCUAUUUUGUUUGUCUCUAAAAUAAAGGAAGAAAAGUACAUAAUUUAUUUACAUGCUUGAGAGUUAUUAUAACUAAUUUUCGAACAUGAUUCAUUAAAUUAAAAAAGAACGUAAUAAAUAUUCCGUUUGACAGUUGCGGGCCCAGGCCCAACGUGUACGGCAUAAUCUGGACUUGGGCCGUCCUUAUUCUGAUUGAGGCAUAAUUAAUUUAUUCUACAUAUUACUACCUAGUUACAUUAUACUAUACAUGCUCGCAUCUUGUCAAAUUAAAAAGGUGAACUUGUAUUAUUUUUUGUUAACAGAUUUUCUGCAAAUUUAGAGUGGCAUGCUAUUGGAGUGAAAGAACUUAAAAAAUCUGAUUUUUAUCCUAAACCGCUUGCAUGUUAAAAUUAAUCAAUAAUAUCGAGCAUGCUUCUUGACAAGUAAUAACGAAUUAACACAACAUGGCUAUUUAUACGCAAACAAAUAACUACAUGACUCUAAAUAAAAGAAGUAUUUUACUGUAUAUACGAGCAAGUAGACAACUACAACGAAUUUAAAACUUCAACUCUUUAUUUCUUAUUCAUGCUUCAUGUUAUCAACUUACAAGGUGUACCAAUUGUGUACCUGAUAUUAGAAGCAAAAGGGAGAAGGAAAAAAUUCAGCAAGUCAGUAAUCAACACAGCAAAAGAGCAACAACAGUAGCUAAACUCAUCAGCCGAUUUUAACAAAACCCGGUAGAAUCAACCCAGAAAAUCCAACAGAAAUGGACUUCAACUCACAGCAAUAUCAUAACAAGCCGAAUGAACUCAAAG
rnacentral:lncRNA from 1 species